CCCUUAGAUGUUCUGGGCCGCACGCGCGCUACACUGACGAAUGCAACGAGCUUAUAACCUUGGCCGAAAGGUCUGGGUAAUCUCCAAAUUUCGUCGUGAUGGGGAUAGAUUAUUGCAAUUAUUAAUCUUCAACGAGGAAUGCCUAGUAAGCGCAAGUCAUCAGCUUGCGUUGAUUACGUCCCUGCCCUUUGUACACACCGCCCGUCGCUCCUACCGAUUGAAUGGUCCGGUGAAGCGUUCGGACCGUGGCCUUUGGACGUUUCGCCGUCUGUUGGCUGCGGGAAGUUCGUUAAACCUUAUCAUUUAGAGGAAGGAGAAGUCGUAACA
rnacentral:rRNA from 1 species